GUUUUCUUUUUUUUCUUUGUCACAGCGCUGAGGGGCGGGGGGGGGGAGCAAGCUCCAUGCGUCAGUUCCCGCCAAAUUGUAGCUCUUUCGAGCGAGGAGGUGCUGAAACACUGCACAGAGACGGGCAAGCACUCAGAGGCAUUUCGUUUGCCUUGAUCCUGGAGGCGGCCUUCUCCCAUUGCUGAGGAUUUGAAGCGAACUCCUGGCAGAUCAGAAAUGUUCAGGCGAACGGCGGUUAUAUUUGUCCGUGGACCCAAGACUUCGUUGACGGGCAAAUAUGUCAGAUUUUCUUGUUUUUUAUUUGUGGCAUCUUAUUGUAAGACCGUGACAUAUCUUGCCGUUUUCUCUAGGGAACCCUGCAACAAGGACUGUAGUGUGAAUAGCGUGCUGCGCUGCUCUCGCCAACUGAAAAGAACUCUGGUGUGCUGUAAAUGCCGACUGCACAAUAUGUGACUGGCCCGCGGCUGCUUUGAAGGUAAGAUUGUGUUCUCAUUAUUCUAUUUAUUGUACCAUUUGUUUUCCAGUGACAUAGCCAACAACGAAAUCCAUCCUCUCUCCACAUAUUAUCUAGUCUGUGCGCUGUGGAGCUUGAAGCACUUCUCGGAAUUUCAGCACACUCGCAUUUAUUUUUUUCCCGACAGAAGAAAAAUGCAAGUCUAACAUCUCGACGGUAAAACGUCGCAUCUGCGCACAGGGCCAAGAGCACGAGAAGUGGCCGAAAGAAGGGAACCGAUCCAACAGGAAUGCCGUCCGUCUUUAUAUUUAUAUAUGUCAGCGUUAUCAUGCCGUGAUCACAUGGACUGUACGGUUGCGUUGCACAAGGGCUGAUGCAAACGCUCCGUGCGAACAAUGUUGCAUGGAAAAUUAGUGCAUCUAUACAAUUGCAAAAUAAAGAUCUAAAGAGAGAAAACUUAUAUUCACGUCUUUCUUUUAUUGCGUGUUACGUAUUAACACGUUAACAAGUGCAGACCCUUAGAGGCGUUUAAUUCCGUCUUACAUGUGCACUCUGCCCGUAAUUAAUUCAGAUAGAGUUAAACGCCUCUAUA